AGGACGAACGCUGGCGGCGCGCCUAACACAUGCAAGUCGAGCGAGAACCAGGGCUUGCCCUGGGGACAGCGGCGAACGGGUGCGUAACACGUGAGCAACCUGCCCCAAAGACCGGGACAACCCGAGGAAACUCGGACUAAUACCGGAUGCCCUCACCGGGUCGCAUGGUCUGGUGAGGAAAUGGAUUCCGCUUUGGGAUGGGCUCGCGGUCUAUCAGCUUGUUGGUGGGGUAACGGCCUACCAAGGCGACGACGGAUAGCUGGUCUGAGAGGACGAUCAGCCACACUGGGACUGAGACACGGCCCAGACUCCUACGGGAGGCAGCAGUGGGGAAUCUUGCGCAAUGGGGGAAACCCUGACGCAGCGACGCCGCGUGCGGGAUGAAGGCCUUCGGGUUGUAAACCGCUUUCAGCAGGGACGAAAUUGACGGUACCUGCAGAAGAAGGCCCGGCCAACUACGUGCCAGCAGCCGC
rnacentral:rRNA from 1 species